CCUCUCCUUUCCAUGCCUGAGUUUUUGAGCCCCUCUGCUUACCAGUACCCGGUGAAUGAUUUUAAUAGAUGAGUUGCAUGAGUGAAACUACUUGCAUAUAGCAACCUGCAAAAGAAUCACUCCCCAAGCCCACCACUGCCAUCAGAGCCCUCUCAGCCCUAGACACACACUGCCAUGGCCACCAGCCUCCACAAGGAUGGAAACACUGCUCCUUGGAAAGCACUUGGCGAUUUUAAUCCUGCAGAUGCUCAUUACUCACCACAGUUACUUUUACAGCAGUGACAAAACUAAUGAAGGUUGGUGAUUAAAGGAAAUUCUUCACACUUGAAGGAUCAGAUAAACAGUGCAGAUAUCAGUGUCCCUUGCUGGAAGGUGAUUUCUCCCCAGCUGGUGCUCCCACAUCGAAAGGGGAGGAGGGGGGCUGCCGCCAGCAGCUGGUGAACUGCAGGAUUCGGCAGGGGCUCUGGAUAAUUCUACAGGCCUGACCCUAUGGUGAGCUUCUACAUCCCAUUCCAUUUGGGACAAAAAGUGAUAGACGGCAUCUUCACAGCUCUAAGACUCCACAUGUACAUCUGUACGGCAGGGAGAGCAGCAGCUGCUGCCUUCACCGAGCGCUAUGAGCUGGGUCAUGCGAGCACGGCUGGCGCUGGGAUGGAACCACAAACAGAACUCCCACUUCACUCAGGUCAGAGACUUGCUCGUGGUCAGAGCCCUGAGUGUCCCAGACCUGGGUUUUCCUGCAUCGCCUCCCUGCACGGCCAGUCCCUGCUCUCUAUUCCCACACCAUGCUGAAAGCAGAUGUCUCGUCUGCUGCAUGCCUGCUGGAUUUAACUGUCCGUGUUCUGUGUACCAAAUUGUCUUUAUGCUAUAAAGAAUUGAAAAGAAAUGUUUUAUACUACUGGAAGGUGUGCUGUGCUAGUGAUUUCAACUGGUUUUUACAACCCCUGAUAAUUUUUUUCUCCCGCUUUCUCACAAUUUGAAAGCUCAAUUAAUUUUGAGCUACAACUCUGUCUAUCAUUUCAACCACAUGUGGCAGAGUGAGAACUCAUGCGAGAUAACGGUUAAUUUUUGGUAUCUUCUGC
rnacentral:lncRNA from 1 species